GCGUUAAUCGGAUUUACUGGGCGUAAAGCGUGUGUAGGUGGUUUAUCGCGUCGGUUGUGAAAUCCCCGGGCUCAACCUGGGAACUGCUUCCGAUACGGGUAGACUAGAGUACGGUAGAGGGUGGUGGAAUUUCCGGUGUAGCGGUGAAAUGCGUAGAUAUCGGAAGGAACAUCAAUGGCGAAGGCAGCCGCCUGGGCCUGUACUGACGCUGAGACACGAAAGCGUGGGGAUCAAACAGGAUUAGAUACCCUGGUAGUCCACGCUGUAAACGAUGAGAACUUGACGUCGGCUUGCUUAGCGAGUCGGUGUCGUAGCUAACGCGAUAAGUUCUCCGCCUGGGGAGUACGGCCGCAAGGUUGAAACUCAAAGGAAUUGACGGGGGCCCGCACAAGCGGUGGAGUAUGUGGUUUAAUUCGAUGCAACGCGAAGAACCUUACCUGGUCUUGACAUGUCUGGAAUCCUGCAGAGAUGCGGGAGUGCCUUCGGGAAUCAGAACACAGGUGCUGCAUGGCU
rnacentral:rRNA from 1 species